UUGAACGCUGGCGGCAUGCCUUACACCUGCAAGUCGAACGGCAGCACGGGUGCUUGCACCUGGUGGCGAGUGGCGAACGGGUGAGUAAUACAUCGGAACAUGUCCUGUAGUGGGGGAUAGCCCGGCGAAAGCCGGAUUAAUACCGCAUACGAUCUACGGAUGAAAGCGGGGGACCUUCGGGCCUCGCGCUAUAGGGUUGGCCGAUGGCCGAUUAGCUAGUUGGUGGGGUAAAGGCCUACCAAGGCGACGAUCAGUAGCUGGUCUGAGAGGACGACCAGCCACACUGGGACUGAGACACGGCCCAGACUCCUACGGGAGGCAGCAGUGGGGAAUUUUGGACAAUGGGCGAAAGCCUGAUCCAGCAAUGCCGCGUGUGUGAAGAAGGCCUUCGGGUUGUAAAGCACUUUUGUCCGGAAAGAAAUCCUUGGCCCUAAUACGGUCGGGGGAUGACGGUACCGGAAGAAUAAGCACCGGCUAACUACGUG
rnacentral:rRNA from 1 species